rnacentral:rRNA from 1 species
AACGAACGCUGGCGGCAUGCCUAACACAUGCAAGUCGAACGAGACCUUCGGGUCUAGUGGCGCACGGGUGCGUAACGCGUGGGAACCUGCCCUUAGGUUCGGACUAACUCCCCGACAGGGGUGCUAAUACCGGAUAAUGUCUUCGGACCAAAGAUUUAUCGCCUUUGGAUGGGCCCGCGUUGGAUUAGCUAGUUGGUAGGGUAAAAGCAUACCAAGGCGACGAUCCAUAGCUGGUCUGAGAGGCUGAUCAGCCACACUGGGACUGAGACACGGCCCAGACUCCUACGGGAGGCAGCAGUGGGGAAUAGUGGACAAUGGGCGAAAGCCUGAUCCAGCAAUGCCGCGUGAGUGAUGAAGGCCUUAGGGUUGUAAAGCUCUUUUAACCGGGAUGAUAAUGACAGUACCGGGAGAAUAAGCUCCGGCUAACUCCGUG